CAGGAACUGUACACCAGACCUGGAAGUGACUUGUUCUAUCUCCUCUGACCAAACAUGAAGAGUCUCCUUUGGUUAUUCUGUGUUAUAUUAAUCCUAAAAUGUGUCACUGCACAAAUCUCUAUGGUGGAGUCUGGUCCUGGGACUGUGAAGCCUUCAGAGACUCUGGACAUGACCUGUAAAGUGACCGGGGCCUCCCUCACUGACAGCACUAACAUGCAUGGUGUACACUGGAUCCGACAACCUGAAGGAAAAGGACUGGACUGGUUGGGGGUAAUAUGGUAUAAUGAUGGCAAGGUUUAUGCCCAGUCUCUUCAGGGACGUCUAACUCUAACAAGAGACACAAAUAAAGGAGAAGUUUAUCUUAAACUCACUGGAGUGAAACCUGAAGAAUCUGGGAAAUAUUAUUGUGCUAGACAUGGAUUUGACAUAUGGGGACAAGGCACUGUUGUAACAAUCUCAUCAGCUACACAAAGCGCUCCUUCAGUCUUCCCUCUGGUGCCCUGCUGCAAUUCUUUGUCCACUGAUACCGUCACCAUUGGGUGUUUGUCUACUGGUUACUUGCCCACUCCUGUAGAUGUACAGUGGAAUUCAGGUUCUAUUACAAGUGGAAUUAGGAACUUCCCAGGUGUCCUUGGAAAUAAGGGCACAUACCUCUCAGCCAAUCUACUGACUAUCCCAACAUCUGACUUUACAAGCGAUAAGAAAUAUGAGUGUAAUGUUCACCACAAACCAACAGGUGUUAAGAUCACCAAAGAGAUCGAAGCAUGUUCCAUCAAAACAAGUUCACCUAAAGUAGAAGUCAUGCAGGCUUCCUGUGGUGAAAAUGGUUCUGUAGAUCUGGUAUGUCUCAUAAGUGGAUACACUCCUAAAGAUAUAAACAUCCAAUGGCUGUUGAACGGAGAGCCAACAUCUAUUGUCCCAUCAAACAGCACCCCUUACAAAGAGGAUGAUGGCACCUUUGGUAUUCAUAGCAAAGUCAGUGUUCCAAAAGAUGACUGGAAUGCUGGAGAUUCCUACACAUGUAAAGUGAAUCAUCCUGCAAGUGAGACCAGAAAUGCAGACACUAUACAGAAGUGUCCAGUUCCAGGAAGUAUUGUUCCAAAGGUUGUUGUCCUUCCUCCUUCCCCUAAAGACAUCUUAAUCACCAAGCAACCAAGACUUAUCUGUCAGGUGUCUCAAGUAGAAUCUCCAGAUUCAUUAACAAUCAAAUGGAGCAGAGAGGACGGCAAAAAACCUCAAGAAUUUACUUCAGAACCUGAAAGAGAUUAUUCUGGGCGGUAUACUGUCAAGAAAACAUUGAAACUAACUUUAUCUGAUUGGUCAAGUGGCAAACUGUUCACCUGCAUUGUCCAAAACAGUGACCUUCCUGCUCCAAUAGAAAAGACCAUCAAAUAUACAGAAGUCGAAGCCACGGAACCAUCAGUUUAUGUCUUCUCACCGCAUGCAGAAGAACUUCUUACCCAUGACUUUGUCGCUAUAACCUGCUACAUCAAAGGGUUCAAGCCUAAAGAGAUGUACACCCAGUGGCUGAAGAAUGGUAUAGUACAGGAUGAAGAAUACUACAAAAAUACUGAGCCUAUCCUGCAAGACGAUGAAGAUACCUACUCUAUGUAUAGUACACUCACAAUUGAGAAAUCUGACUGGAAUAGAGGAUCAACGUUUACAUGCAGUGCUGUUCACAACAAGAUUACUUCCAAAGACAUAAAGAAAUCUAGGGGUAAAUGAUUUUUUAGCUUUAUUCCCUGUCCAGACCCUGAAGUAGGCACAAAUGCUUAUUGUCUUGACCACCCCAUAUAUUAGUCAGUAUCUGUUAACCACAGUUUUCAAUCCGUUUGAUGUGUGGAACAUCAACCAUUAAUGUUUCAGCACUAAAAAAUGAUGAAGGUCUUAGGUCAAUGCAGUUAGUGACAUUUAGUUGCAUUUCCAUAAGACCUAGUUAUGAAGCGCCAAUAGCGAGCAAUCCAUCCAUCCGCCAAAAAAGAGCAAUCCAUCCAUCACCACUAACUGCAUUGUACUAAUAUUAGUCAUCAUGAUUUCUAACCAAUGUAUGUCAUGUAUAUCUACCAUAUAUCCCUUCUUGUGUGUCUGGUGUGUGGAACACUAGAUUUUGUCUGUUAUGUCAUGCGUGCUUGUAUCUCAAUAAACUCUUGUUUAAGAUUA